rnacentral:rRNA from 1 species
UGGGGAAUAUUGCACAAUGGGGGGAACCCUGAUGCAGCGACGCCGCGUGAGCGAAGAAGGUUUUCGAAUCGUAAAGCUCUGUCCUAUGAGAAGAUAAUGACGGUAUCAUAGGAGGAAGCCCCGGCUAAAUACGUGCCAGCAGCCGCGGUAAUACGUAUGGGGCGAGCGUUGUCCGGAAUUAUUGGGCGUAAAGGGUACGUAGGCGGUUUUUUAAGUCAGGUGUGAAAGCGUGAGGCUUAACCUCAUUAAGCACUUGAAACUGGAAGACUUGAGUGAAGGAGAGGAAAGUGGAAUUCCUAGUGUAGCGGUGAAAUGCGUAGAUAUUAGGAGGAAUACCGGUGGCGAAGGCGACUUUCUGGACUUUUACUGACGCUCAGGUACGAAAGCGUGGGGAGCGAACAGGAUUAGAUACCCUGGUAGUCCACGCCGUAAACGAUGAGUGCUAGGUGUUAGGUCCUUUCCGGGACUUAGUGCCGCAGCUAACGCAUUAAGCACUCCGCCUGGGGAGUACGACCGCAAGGUUG